AUUUACUGUUACAUCCAUGAGAUUAUGUAAAUUCAAAUAAAUAUCAUGUCACAGGAUGUCAUAGGUCAGUAUCAAAUGAGUUUGAAAUUAUUAUUUGCAGUACAAAUAAGGAUUUUUAAAAAUCCCUAAAAUUGUCAGAAAAGGAUAAGGCCUAAGAUAUUUCUAUGUGAGUGGCUAAAUUUAUUUUUGUUUUUAUAAUUAUAAUACAUAAACUAUGAAGUUAUACAAAAUGUAUAAAAAAGUAAAUAAAUAAAUAAGUACACACAUAAAAAAAAGCAGCCAAGACAAAUGAGUUUCCUUUUUUUAUAUAUAGAUUAAAAUUGAAGACACAAGCAACUAAAUGCGGUCACUUAAUAUUCAAAUCCAUUUAUGUUCACGUGGCUGUUUUCGUUUAUAUUCUCCAAGCUAUUAUGUAUUUUGAAAUAAUCUUGUCCGUGAUGUGUUCGUUCGUACGACGAAAGGCAGAAUCCUGCAGCUCGAGAGACAUGUUAUUCUGCCCGUCGCUCUUUCAAAUAGUCUUUCACACUUAAACGGGUCACAAACACCUGCAUUUAGCUUUUAUUG